rnacentral:rRNA from 1 species
GACGAACGCUGGCGGCGUGCUUAACACAUGCAAGUCGAACAGAAAGGCCCUGCUUUUGUGGGGUGCUCGAGUGGCGAACGGGUGAGUAACACGUGAGUAACCUGCCCUUGACUUUGGGAUAACUUCAGGAAACUGGGGCUAAUACCGGAUAGGUGCUCCUGCUGCAUGGUGGGGGUUGGAAAGUUUCGGCGGUUGGGGAUGGACUCGCGGCUUAUCAGCUUGUUGGUGGGGUAGUGGCUUACCAAGGCUUUGACGGGUAGCCGGCCUGAGAGGGUGGCCGGCCACAUUGGGACUGGGAUACGGCCCAGACUCCUACGGGAGGCAGCAGUGGGGAAUAUUGCACAAUGGGCGGAAGCCUGAUGCAGCAACGCCGCGUGCGGGAUGACGGCCUUCGGGUUGUAAACCGCUUUCGCCUGUGACGAAGCGUGAGUGACGGUAAUGGGUAAAGAAGCACCGGCUAUCUACGUGCCAGCAGCCGCCGUAA